UUUGGUUAGAAGCUGUUUACAGAGAUGUGUUCAGGUCCCAAGGAAUAGAAUGUUGCCAUCAGUCUUCCUGGGUCAAGGAAUGCAAAUUGUGAUGAUGACAUUUAUUACUUUAUAAUUGUCUUUGCUGACCUCUUCAUUAUGAAUCUAAUUCUUUGGGUGGAAGAAUCAUUAGCUGCCAUCUCCUUUGAUGUCCAUGUCACUCAACCAGAUCCUGUGGCAGAUUCCUGAACAGAGCUUCUUCACAAAACCAUUUCUUGGCAUUGUAAUUGGUGGCAUUUUAUCCUUUGGCUGUAUUUUUAUUGAACUUUUUCAUUAUGAAAAGUAUUUGGGACAGUUGGAUUUCCCCCUGCUUCUUGUUUAUGACUACAGUCUUCAAUGUGGUGAAAGUGGAUUAAAGAGUUUCCCCCAAAGGCUUCCAGGCAUAUCAUCCUUGCUUUUGAAUAUCUGUAUCAACAUCAAUAGAGAUAUAUGUGUA